AUGCUGAUGGUAUGUCCACUCCCUAACCCCACUACUAACCCCACUCCUCAUUCUGAUACUUGUGAUCAACAUCCCAGCUCAGAGGAAGAGUUUGGGACUUGGUAUUCCUGUUAUGAACAGAUCACUGUGAAUGAUCAUAAAGAGAACUAGAUUAAGACACUAAAGACAACAGUUCCAGGUGUGGAGUCACACAGGCUUGAAACACUUCCACAGUGUGAAUGAGUGUCAGUGGGAGAUUGUGCUGAAGGGGUCUGGACAGGCAGAGAGCAGGACAAUUUUCUGCAGUCUCUUUAGUGAGGACGAUAUCUGUCCAUCAAUGAAUCAGAGUUCAGCACAGCCUCCCAGUGACACUGACUGCAUAUUUCAAUCUGUAUGACUCUUCAUCUGAAAUGAUCUACUUGGUCUCAAACUCUAUGCUUUCCUUCCCCUCUUCCUCUCAAUGUUAUUCAUUUUCCAGGUGACCCAGUCAACUGUGACCAUUGCAGAAAUCCGCAUUUCUUACGAAUGUCCUCCGAGUUUGGAUGUUCGGAUGGAUAAGGACAGAUGCAGUCAUCCCAGCUUAAAACAAGGGCUUUGAUUUCACCCUCAGCCUGGUUCCACAUUCACCUCCUUCCUUGCUGCCUCCUGCUGUUCCCCACACUCUGUGAGGACCGUGAUGAUUCCCAGUGGAAAGAGAAUCUGACUCUGAGGUUUAUGGGGAAGCUUCCUCACCCUCCUACCAUCAAUCCCACUCCCUUCCUCAGUCUGACUCCCCCUGUGCGUCUCUCUGACUGUCUGGACUGGUCACCUCACCGCCCUGCCUGUGGCCCAGGGUCUGUUCCUGUUAGUCUGCGAUGCCACUGACGUUUCAUCACCUCCUGGUUUGAUGAGGCUGUCGAUUGAGAUGAUCCAGCCUCAGCCUGGGUCUCAUUUCCCCGGACUCCAGGCAAGUCCCUGUUCUCCCCAAAUAUUCAACUCCUUGUGUUUCCAACCUCCUCAUUAUCCAACCUCCACCUGGAUCAAGUGGCUUUGUUUCAAUCUGGCUGAAGACAUACUGCCUGGAUCCCCAUCUGUCAGUUCACACAUGUUAUAGUUCUAUUUUCUGUUUCACUCACAGUUAAUUUCCAUUACCCCUCCACCAUCGUUAGAACCCAAAACAAUUCAUGAACUGACCAACAACAAUAACACCAGGUCUUUUAAAAUGUAUUAGAGGUCACCUGGCUUCAGUGUUAUCCUGUAUCCCUGUAGUUUUGACAUUGUUUGCCGAAAUGCUCUGUGUAAAAUAAGGGGGUUCUAUCCUUAUGUACUGCUGUUUUCCUGUUGUCACAGGAGUCACUGUCCUUCUCUGGCAGUGUUCACAUACUUAUUAUCCAUCUUGAUGUACGCCUUCUGUGUAUUUUCAUCUUUCUCAUUUUUUUUUACUUCAUUCUGUAAAGACAUCUGAAUCUUAUGUUCAAGGAAGUUAAUUGUAAUUGUAAACUGAAUUUUCAUUUCUCAUGAUUUUGUUUUGAAGUUUUAAACUGUUUAUUGCUACAGUGGUAGCUUUCUGUGAACUGUUUUCAAGCUACAGGUGUGAUUUCUUAUUGGAAAACCGGUUGUUGGUUUAGAGUAACUACUGGCCUCCCUAUUACUGUUCUGUUGAACUGAAUUAACUUUUAUUGCCCCUGAGGGAAUUUGUCUUGCACCUCAAGAGCUCAUACCAUAUGACAAUAAUAAAAUAGUGUUGUACUGUUGCUAUGAUACAAAACAACAUCUCAGUCAGAAAUCAAUACAGUAUCAUAAGAUUCAAGACAAUCAGCUGUUUAAACAAUAAGAUGAUUUGUACCUCCAAACAAUCUUCAUUUUUCAACAACUGAAUGCUUUCAUGUACUAAUAAAGUAAAUGCUCCUAUAAUUGC